rnacentral:rRNA from 1 species
CCUACGGGUUGCAGCAGUGGGGAAUAUUGCACAAUGGGCGCAAGCCUGAUGCAGCCAUGCCGCGUGUGUGAAGAAGGCCUUCGGGUUGUAAAGCACUUUCAGUCGUGAGGAAGGUGGUAGUGUUAAUAGCACUAUCAUUUGACGUUAGCGACAGAAGAAGCACCGGCUAACUCCGUGCCAGCAGCCGCGGUAAUACGGAGGGUGCGAGCGUUAAUCGGAAUUACUGGGCGUAAAGCGCAUGCAGGUGGUUUGUUAAGUCAGAUGUGAAAGCCCGGGGCUCAACCUCGGAAUAGCAUUUGAAACUGGCAGACUAGAGUACUGUAGAGGGGGGUAGAAUUUCAGGUGUAGCGGUGAAAUGCGUAGAGAUCUGAAGGAAUACCGGUGGCGAAGGCGGCCCCCUGGACAGAUACUGACACUCAGAUGCGAAAGCGUGGGGAGCAAACAGGAUUAGAUACCCGAGUAGUC